rnacentral:rRNA from 1 species
GACGAACGCUGGCGGCGUGCCUAAUACAUGCAAGUAGAACGCUGAAGGAGGAGCUUGCUCUUCUGGAUGAGUUGCGAACGGGUGAGUAACGCGUAGGUAACCUGCCUGGUAGCGGGGGAUAACUAUUGGAAACGAUAGCUAAUACCGCAUAACAGUAGAUGUUGCAUGACAUUUACUUAAAAGGUGCAAUUGCAUCACUACCAGAUGGACCUGCGUUGUAUUAGCUAGUUGGUGGGGUAACGGCUCACCAAGGCGACGAUACAUAGCCGACCUGAGAGGGUGAUCGGCCAAACUGGGACUGAGACACGGCCCAGACUCCUACGGGAGGCAGCAGUAGGGAAUCUUCGGCAAUGGACGGAAGUCUGACCGAGCAACGCCGCGUGAGUGAAGAAGGUUUUCGGAUCGUAAAGCUCUGUUGUAAGAGAAGAACGAGUGUGAGAGUGGAAAGUUCACACUGUGACGGUAUCUGACCAGAAAGGGACGGCUAACUACGUG